CUUUGUUUGGAUUCAAGAUGUUUUGGACAAAGCGACGCGCAUCAGCUACCGACCAAGGGAUAUUCCAUAGGUAGCAGGUAAAGGCACUAAUCACAACUACGCAUACGCGCGAUAAAACCGCCCCUUUUUGCUGCUAGAGGGGAUAGGCGGAAAAGGAAUAACUGAUUAGUGUUGUGUGACUGGAAUGGGGCGUAAAGCUUUACACACAGCGCAGGG
rnacentral:sRNA from 1 species